GACGAACGCUGGCGGCGUGCCUAAUACAUGCAAGUCGUGCGGACUUUGCGGGAGCUUGCUCCCAAGAAGUUAGCGGCGGACGGGUGAGUAACACGUGGGCAACCUGCCUGACAGACUGGGAUAACAUUCGGAAACGAAUGCUAAUACCGGAUAGAAAGCAUUGAGGCAUCUCAAGGCUGAGAAAGGCGCUAUGGCGUCACUGUUAGAUGGGCCCGCGGCGCAUUAGCUAGUUGGUGAGGUAACGGCUCACCAAGGCGACGAUGCGUAGCCGACCUGAGAGGGUGACCGGCCACACUGGGACUGAGACACGGCCCAGACUCCUACGGGAGGCAGCAGUAGGGAAUCUUCCACAAUGGGCGAAAGCCUGAUGGAGCAACGCCGCGUGAGUGAUGAAGGCCUUCGGGUUGUAAAACUCUGUCUUCUGGGACGAACGAACAGGAGAGGGAAUGUUCCUGUUGUGACGGUACCAGAGGAGGAAGCCACGGCUAACUACGUGCCAGCAGCCGCGGUAAUACGUAGGUGGCAAGCGUUGUCCGGAAUCACUGGGCGUAAAGCGCGCGCAGGCGGCCGUUUAAGUCUGGGGUGAAAGCCCGGAGCUCAACUCCGGGACUGCCUUGGAUACUGGAUGGCUUGAGCAUUGGAGAGGCAAGGGGAAUUCCACGUGUAGCGGUGAAAUGCGUAGAUAUGUGGAGGAACACCAGUGGCGAAGGCGCCUUGCUGGCCAAUUGCUGACGCUGAGGCGCGAAAGUGUGGGGAGCAAACAGGAUUAGAUACCCUGGUAGUCCACACCGUAAACGAAGAGUGCUAGGUGUUGGUGGGGUCCACCCAUCAGUGCCGAAGCUAACGCAUUAAGCACUCCGCCUGGGGAGUACGCUCGCAAGAGUG
rnacentral:rRNA from 1 species